UAACACGUGGGCAACCUGCCUUACAGAGGGGAUAGCCUUCCGAAAGGAAGAUUAAUACCGCAUAUUAUGAUUUUUCUUGCAUGGGAAAGUCAUGAAAGGAGCAAUCCGCUGUAAGAUGGGCCCGUGGCGCAUUAGCUAGUUGGUGAGGUAAGGGCUCACCAAGGCGACGAUGCGUAGCCGACCUGAGAGGGUGAUCGGCCACAUUGGGACUGAGACACGGCCCAGACUCCUACGGGAGGCAGCAUG
rnacentral:rRNA from 1 species